rnacentral:lncRNA from 1 species
GGGAGAAUAGUGAUGAUGAUUCUUCAAGUGAUGAUGGUUGCAGUGUUGAGGAGGAGUUCAAUCUGUGUUUCAUGGCAGGCUUUGCACAUUAUGAUGACAACAAUAGUGAUUCUGAGGGUGAGCCAAUCGAAGUCAAGAAAUACAUGCAGAAGCCAUGGUUUUAUUUAGAGCUGUCAAAACGGGUAACCCAGCUCGACCCGGCCCGGCCCACCACGGGUUGGUCACUUAGUGAACCAACCCAACCUGGCUCAUUUAUUAGCGAGCCAGAAAAAUUCGAACCCGGCUCGACCCAUCACAGGUUGGUGGGUAAAUGGGUUGGCU